GACGAACGCUGGCGGCGUGCUUAACACAUGCAAGUCGAACGGAAAGGCCCUGCUUUUGUGCGGUUCUCGAUUGGCGAACGGGUGAGUAACACGUGAGUAACCUGCCCUUGACUUUGGGAUAACUUCAGGAAACUGGGGCUAAUAUCGGAUAGGAGCUCCUGCUGCGUGGUGGGCGUUGGAAAGUUUCGGCUGUUGGGGAUGGACUCGCGGCUUAUCAGCUUGUUGGUGGGGUAGUGGCUUACCAAGGCUUUGACGGGUAGCCGGCAUGAGAGGGUGGACGGGGUCAAUACGACUACGAGAGGGAGCAGACUCCAACGGGAGGCAACGGUCGGAAGCAUUGCACAGUGAGAGGGAGCCUGAGACAGAGGCGUCGCGUGCGGGAUGACGGCCUUCUGGGUGUAAACAGCCUUCGCCUGUGACGAAGCGUGAGUGACGGUACCGAAUAAAGAAGCACCGGCUAACUACGUG
rnacentral:rRNA from 1 species